UACAGAGGUCUCAAGCGUUGUUCGGAUUCAUUGGGCGUAAAGGGUGCGUAGGCGGCGCGGUAAGUCGGGUGUGAAAUCUUGGAGCUUAACUCCGAAACUGCAUUCGAUACUGCGGUGCUUGAGGACUGGAGAGGAGACUGGAAUUCAUGGUGUAGCAGUGAAAUGCGUAGAGAUCAUGAGGAAGACCAGUGGCGAAGGCGGGUCUCUGGACAGUUCCUGACGCUGAGGCACGAAGGCCAGGGGGAGCAAACGGGG
rnacentral:rRNA from 1 species